UUAAGGGGAUAAAUUAGUGAAUAACUGACCAGUAUCUAUUUGCAUUUUGUCAUUGGCGAUUUGUAACUUUUCAAGGCAUUCAAUAUAUGCUUUAAUGUUUGUUAUUCAUGUGUACCAUUUCUACAUUGCCUCUUCUAUAUUUUGAACUUAACGUCUCUAACAACUUUUCUUUAUAAAUAUCAGACUUUGGAUAAAAUAUUACCUUGCAUAUCACCAAGCUUAUGGAUAACAUUUUAGUUUCGAUAACUUAAAACACAGGGGUUUGCCUCAAUCUCUUUCAGUAAUUGAACAAGGGUUUGUUAUUACAUAAUGUCAUUCAUUCGAUAAAUUUUAAUUAUCAUCUACUAUGUGUCAAUACUAUUUUGGCUGCUACUUAGCAGUAAAUAAUGAGGAAGAGCUUACUCAGAACUUCUCUAAUGGGAUAUCACUGGGUUACCAGUUGAUAAAUGAAGGAGCCAGGACUGGAACACAAGCUGAGUGACUUGAGGUCCACUUUCUAAACUUUGGUAUACUUAGCUUUCUUAAAAAUGAAGUUACUAUGAAGGAGAGCAUACUGACAGAUAGGGGGAGGUGAUAUCCUGAUGACGCAUUUCAGUACCUACAUCCAAGCAUGCCUAGGACUGUACCCUGGUAUCUCCUAGUACUCCACACCAUUAAUUUUCUUUUUUGCUUAAAAUAGUUUGUUUACUAUUAGUUUCCACUAAAUUAGAUUUAUAUAAAAGAUAAUAUUUUGGAUAAUUUUGCGCAAUUAGUCUCUAUGGGUAUGAAUAAAUUAAGGAGAAGAUUAUUUGUCAAUAGUAUUAGAUGAUGAUGAAAGCAAAGCACUUGUCAUAAACCUGCUAGAAUUUUCAGAAUUACAUUUUUUUAAUUAUACAUUUAAUGUUAUCUCCCUUUUAAUAGGGUGGUGCAUGCUCUUCAGCAAGUUAUUUAAUCUCCCAGUGUCUCAGUUUUCUCAUGUGUACAAUGAGUAAAAUAAUAGCAAUAGGGAUAAUUUCAGAUAGUGUUAAAUAAAAUAAUGCAUAUUUUAUAUAAAAAUUAAAAUGUACUUGGUAAAUUAAAAGAACUCAAGUAUAUACAAAUAUUAUGAUUAUCACUAUUAUUUCUCUCACAGGGACUUAUGGUACCCACAUAAAGAUAAAGAUUACCCUAUGCUUUCAGGAGUAUUUUAUUUUAGAAGUUAUGUGGGAUAACAAAUGAUUGACUCAGAGUAUUUUAAUUCCUUGUUGGAAAGCUAAGUGGGUCUGCAUGAGGUGGUGUUGGGAGAUGAAAGUUGGGCCUAGGACACUGGGAAGACAAAGAAGACGGUAUGAGGUCUGCAUACUAAUUUGGUGCAACUUCUACCAAAAUGCUUCUGCUUCUGCAGAGCAAAAGGGAGUGACAUGGAGGGACAAUGUGGAGGCUCAGUCAGUAUCCAGAGAAGAGAAAGGAAAUAGAAGGGAGAUUCCAAGUGUGGGGAGCAGAUGAGAGAAACAGCCAUGAACCUGCAAUUUAAAGAAAUUCAAACUCCACCUAAGGGGGAUUCUCCAGGAGAGGUUCCAUGAAUGCCGAUGCUGCCACAGAUGUCAGGGGGAAAAUUGGAUGGAGCCAUGGUUACUCAACUCUCCAAGUUGGAAUUAGUUAAAAAGGCAGCAUCACGUGUCAAGGCAAGAUGUUACAGAGCUGUUGGCUGAAAAGGGAUUCAGAAGAUUACUGGAAUUGUUUCUUUAACAGAGACUAAACAAUUGCAUGUGACAUUUUUCUUUUAUCUUAAAGGAAUUUAAUCAGAGCAGUCACAAACUUACCAAUAAUCAUAUACUACAUAAGAUUUUACAUAUUAUUUAUUUCUGCUUAUAAAACUUCAACUUUAUGACUUUAUAAUGUCUGAAAUGUAAAAAUAUAUAUUUAACACCUAGAUUUCUAUGUACUUAUAAAUUUAUCAGAAUAUAUGUUAAACAAAUAUGUAUGUGUGUAUGGAAAAUGUUUUAAAAUGAUCACAAGAAGCAGGUCUCUGAAUUAGAACCAAAUUAUUUCCGGAAUCUAUUGAAAUACGAACAGUCCAGCUUCAGAUGAUCUUUAAAUAGCUAACCUCUCCUCCAAAAAAAAAAAAAAAAAAAUGAAAGCACCUUCCAUACUAUCAGAACUUCACAAUCCCAAUUGCUUUUUGUGGGUAGUUGUGAUGAC